rnacentral:tRNA from 1 species
GCAGAGAAUUUCAGGAAAAAUGGGGCGAAUGCAUUUUGUAUUACUAAUGGUUUCGAUAAACAAGAAACUAUCGAGGGUUCGAAUCCCUUCCUCUCUGCA